UGUAUAACAAUUUGGGCAAACAGCGCAAAAGCAAAGAAUUGCUUUUCGGUCUGGGCAUCCAUUAUUGUUUUAGUAGUCCCGUUAUAUACAAUAAUUAGCCAUUGUCACAUAUGUAAUAAUAUUACUAUAGUUUAUAGUAACAUUUUUUCUAAAUGUUAUUAUAAAAAGCAAAAGGUAACACUUUCAAAAAUGUCGUUGUAAAAUAAAUGUUGGUACAUAUAUUAUAGAUAUUGCAUAAAAUAAAUCAAAAUGUCACUAUUUG
rnacentral:misc_RNA from 1 species